UUCAAGCUUUUGCCCAUCGGUGGGGCAUGAGACUCUUAAUCUCAGGAUUGUGGGUUCAAGCCCCAUGUUGGGUGAAA